CCCACCAAUUCUUGAAUCUCACACAAACUAUAUGAAACUAUAUGUGUCAAUUGUGGAUUUUCAACUACACCUUCCCAAAACUUUGUCAAAUGCAAAAAUGGUCUGUAUAUGAAAUGUAGAUUUUGAUGAGUGGAACAAUAUUGGUAUUCAUGACUUUUCCAUUCUAGACCAUCUAGGGUUCCGAAACCGCUGCGUGGCUAUGAGUUCUAUAAAAAUUCAAAAUUCAGUGGUUCAAACUUUUCCAAAUGAAAAGUUGACCAUUAGACAAAAUGUAGAACUUGAUGAGUGUAGCAAACUUUAUAUUCAUGACUUUUCCAUUUGGGACAAUCUAGGGUUCGGUCAAAGGGUGUGUUCAUCAAGAUAUAUAUUUUUAUAUUUUUUAUUUGAUGAAAAUUAUACCCAACUAGCAUUCCUAGUAAUAAAUAACAAAAAUAAAAAGUUUUACGUCAAUAUGAUGUGAAAAUAAAUUUCCAGUUCAUUGGAUAUAGUUUUUGUAAAUUUAUUGGAAUAAUAUAUUUUUGCAUUAACAAAAUACUAAACAAUUCUUACAAAAUCAUUGCAAAUUAUAAAAAUACAAUAAGAUAUUUAAGUUUAAAAAUUUUCAUGUGUAC
rnacentral:lncRNA from 1 species